GAUGAACGCUGGCGGCGUGCUUAACACAUGCAAGUCGAACGGGAAACCUUUUAUUGAAGCUUCGGCAGAUUUAGCUGGUUUCUAGUGGCGGACGGGUGAGUAACGCGUGGGUAACCUGCCUUAUACAGGGGGAUAACAACCAGAAAUGGUUGCUAAUACCGCAUAAGCGCACAGGACCGCAUGGUCCGGUGUGAAAAACUCCGGUGGUAUAAGAUGGCCCCGCGUUGGAUUAGCUAGUUGGCAGGGUAACGGCCUACCAAGGCGACGAUCCAUAGCCGGCCUGAGAGGGUGAACGGCCACAUUGGGACUGAGACACGGCCCAGACUCCUACGGGAGGCAGCAGUGGGGAAUAUUGCACAAUGGGGGAAACCCUGAUGCAGCGACGCCGCGUGAAGGAAGAAGUAUCUCGGUAUGUAAACUUCUAUCAGCAGGGAAGAUAGUGACGGUACCUGACUAAGAAGCCCCGGCUAACUACGUG
rnacentral:rRNA from 1 species